CAAAACAACGUUAUCAACAACAACAUCAACCACACGUACAACAUCAGCAACUCGCUACAACAACAACAACAACAAAGAAUAUAACAACAUCAGCAGCGAAUCCGGCGAAACCCGCGAACCCAGCCGACCCGUUUAAUAACCCAGUAGUAAUAACGUCCCUUUCAACAAAAGUAAAGCAAUGAACAAGUCAACAACUCCGGCUCAUCCCAACGAAUUAAUUCAGAUUUUCCUCAAAAUCGUUCGAUCAGAGUCAACGCGGGCAGUCAAGAUUAAUUCAUAUUUGAAUUUCAAAUUUUUCAUCCUCAAUUUCUUAUUUGUUUCACCCUAAAACAACCCCAUAAUUCACUAUAAAUACGGUACUAUGUAGAGAGAAAGAAGGAGGAUUUUGGGGAAAAAAUUUGAGGAUUUGGGAGUAGCAUGCUUUUAAUCCCACACAACCAAAAAUCCUAGAAGAAACAGACUCAAAAACUUGAUUCUAACGAAAAAAAAUUGAACUCCGAAGGAUCGAAAUUCAAACUUCGGUGGUGAAAAUCCGUCGCCAAGGUUCGUUGUCGAGUUCACUGCCCGAAAAAAGUCCAUUGGACUCCAUUUUUCGCAUUUCCGAAUGCUCCAAAGAGGCCUACAUCAUCUUAGAUUCAAAAGCCGCAACAAAUGUCCGAAAUGGACUAAUGCAUGAAGAAAAUGGAUUAAUAUAGCUGUUGGUAUACACUGAUAUACGCAUAUAUACGGGUCGUACCGGUCAAGAGCGGCUGGUGUAUGCUUAUGCGUGGUGCAUAACAAAGAUGGAAGCAAGUAUAUGGAUUUAUACACUGAUAUACUGCAUAUAUACAGUAAAACGUAGCAAGGCAAAGCUGUGAUAUACAAUUGGUAUACAUGGAUAAAAAUGGACUGAAGUCCAUGAAUUAAAGCCCAAAAGCUGGACAACUUUAUUGAUGGGCUAAUUUAGGGCCCAAUUUUAAUUCUUAUAUUAUUUUUUGGGUAACUUACAUAAAUUCCUGAAUCUAUAAGUGAUAUUAUAUAAAAUCUCGACUAUUUUGUUAAU